rnacentral:rRNA from 1 species
AGCGAACGCUGGCGGCGUGCCUAACACAUGCAAGUCGAACGUGAAAAGGGAAACCUGAGUAAAGUGGCGUACGGGUGAGUAACGCGUAGGUAAUCUACCCCAGAAUCUGGAAUAACCUGCCGAAAGGCGGGCUAAUACUGGAUAGAGCGAGGGAACUCGUAAGAGAGUUUUUCGGGAAAGGGAGCCCGCAAGGGCCUUCGUUCUGGGAUGAGCCUGCGUCUCAUUAGCUAGUUGGUAAGGUAACGGCUUACCAAGGCGAUGAUGAGUAGCUGGUCUGAGAGGAUGGUCAGCCACACUGGAACUGAAACACGGUCCAGACUCCUACGGGAGGCAGCAGUAGGGAAUCUUGCGCAAUGGACGAAAGUCUGACGCAGCCACGCCGCGUGAGUGAAGAAGGCCGUCGGGUUGUAAAGCUCUGUCGGAUGGGACGAACAUCUUCAUAGUGAAUAGCUAUGAGGACUGACGGUACCAUCAAAGGAAGCACCGGCUAACUCCGUG